rnacentral:rRNA from 1 species
GACGAACGCUGGCGGCGUGCUUAACACAUGCAAGUCGAACGAUGAAGCCGGAGCUUGCUCCGGUGGAUUAGUGGCGAACGGGUGAGUAACACGUGAGCAAUCUGCCCUUGACUCUGGGAUAACUGCGGGAAACUGUAGCUAAUACCGGAUACGACACCUUGGGGCAUCCCAGGGUGUGGAAAGAGUUUCGGUCAAGGAUGAGCUCGCGGCCUAUCAGCUAGUUGGUGAGGUAAUGGCUCACAAGGCGACGACGGGUAGCCGGCCUGAGAGGGUGACCGGCCACACUGGAACUGAGACACGGUCCAGGCUCCUACGGGAGGCAGCAGUGGGGAAUAUUGCACAAUGGGCGAAAGCCUGAUGCAGCAACGCCGCGUGGGGGAUGAAGGCCUUCGGGUUGUAAACCUCUUUUAGCAGGGAAGAAGCGAAAGUGACGGUACCUGCAGAAAAAGCACCGGCUAACUACGUGCCAGCCGCCGCCGUAA